rnacentral:lncRNA from 1 species
AGGAAAGGAGUUCUUGCUUCAUGUUUGGUUUGGAAGAGGAUUAGGAGGAGGUUUGGCCAUACUUGUAUCUAGAUCAAGGUAUGUUUGAGGUUGUGCCAUGAGAUUCAUGCAUGUUUUUAGUUGCUAGCUUGAGUUCUAAUUAGCCCAUGGUUCAAAUCUUUGCUAUGUCAUGGGGAUGAUAUUCGGCCUAGGUGGAUUUUGUGUUAAUGCCAUUGCUUGCUAAAUAUGAAGCUUGUUAAUGAUGCAUGUGAUGGUGGAUUGAUGAUUCUUGAAUCUUCUUUUUAGCAUUUUUGAGUGAGCACAUAUGUGCAUUGGUUGC